rnacentral:rRNA from 1 species
UUUAACUGAAGAGUUUGAUCAUGGCUCAGAUUGAACGCUGGCGGCAGGCUUAACACAUGCAAGUCGAGCGGGGGAAGGUAGCUUGCUACUGGACCUAGCGGCGGACGGGUGAGUAAUGCUUAGGAAUCUGCCUAUUAGUGGGGGACAACAUCUCGAAAGGGAUGCUAAUACCGCAUACGUCCUACGGGAGAAAGCAGGGGAUCUUCGGACCUUGCGCUAAUAGAUGAGCCUAAGUCGGAUUAGCUAGUUGGUGGGGUAAAGGCCUACCAAGGCGACGAUCUGUAGCGGGUCUGAGAGGAUGAUCCGCCACACUGGGACUGAGACACGGCCCAGACUCCU